GCCAGGCGUGGUGGCUCACGCCUGUAAUCCCAGCACUUUGGGAGGCCGAGGCGGGUGGAUCACCUGAGGUCGGGAGUUCCAGACCAGCCUGACCAACAUGGAGAAACCCCGUCUCUA
ensembl:misc_RNA Metazoa_SRP Metazoan signal recognition particle RNA